CUAUGGUCUGUGCACCAAACAAAGUAAGUGGCGUGGCUUCCUUAAGACUGCAUUUUAUGGAGUAUUGCUUGGUGAGCAAAAAGAAUGAAAUCUUGCCAUUUGCAACAACGUGGAUGGAACUAGAGGGUAUUAUGCUAAGCGAAUGAGUCAGAGAAAGACAAAUAUGACUUUACUCAUAUGUGGAAUUGAAGAAACAAAACAAAUGAACAUAAGGGAGGGGAAGCAAAAUAUGAAAACAGGGAGGGGGACAGACCAUAAGAGACUCUUAAAUACAGAGAACAAACUGAGGGUUGCUGGAGGGGUGGUGGGUGGGGGGAUGGGCUAAAUGAGUAAGGGGCAUUAAGGAGGACACUUGUUGGGAUGAGCACUGGGUAUCAUAUGUAGGGGAUGAGGCACUGGGUUCUACUCCUGAAAUCAGUCUUACACUAGAUGCUAACUUGGAUGAAAAUUUUUAAAAAAGACUGCAUUUUAUUAAUGUGCCACACAGGCCCUUUUCCACAACAGGUUUAUUGUAGAAUGUACAUUGAUUCGGAUCCUAGUAGUUGACGGCAGGCCCUGCAAAGUUCCUGGCACAGCGGGAGUCCUCUUCGUGAGGGGCCAGGCGUGGCCGUGCUCAGACCAGGGAGGACCUUCAUCGUGCUCCUGGGAGAAGCCACAGAGGCUGCCAGCUCUCUUCUCAGUGUUUCUCAGGCCCACAGAAGAGUUGCCGAGGGCUGGCGACCAUCCGAACAGGAAGGAGCCUGGCAGAGGCGUCCCUGCCCCGCACGGCUCAGAGAGAGUAAGGAUGGUGAGAGGUCACUCCUCCCUCCUGUGGGCAGCCCUUGGCUCACCGGCCACAGAUGUCACAGCAGUGACUGGGUUCCCUGUGCUCGCUUUGGAGGGCGUGCAUGUUCAGUUCUGGAGCAAUGAAAGGCAAGGGUCCAGAUCUCUUACCUGAUCUUAACAGAAACUACAGUCAUACCACCGUAUCUCAGCGUGUGACAGCUAUUUCGAAAAGCCCCGUCUGUAACUUCCACGUUGACAUUCUUGCCCUUAAACUCAACUGGGGGGGCUCCCUCAUUGUCUGUGAAGCUGCCGGCACCCGUCAGCUCCCCUGUCAUUGGUGCUGUCUGUCUCUGAAGGCCUCCCUGCCCAGUGCUCCCCCACUCCACCUCUGUCCUCCGCGUGCCCCGAGUAUGUCCCGCUUUUGCUCGCUGAUCUGCGGACCGUUGCUGGUGGAUUACUUCUCAGGCCUCGAAAUCCUGAUGUUUCAAAGAGCCAUACUUCUUGCCAGUUUUC
rnacentral:lncRNA from 1 species